rnacentral:tRNA from 1 species
GGUCCUGUGCGGCUUAGUAAGUAGAGCAUGGCACUUGCAAUGCUAGGGUCGUGGGUUUGAAUCCCGCUGGGGCCA